AACGCACGAGACCUGCGGACCUGCGGAGGGAUCAUUAAUGAGAAGCUGCCCCUCGUGGGUAGACCUCCCACCCUCUGUGAACUUACCUUUGUUGCUUUGACAGGCCCGUCCUCUGGACCGCCGGCUUCGGCUGGCCCGUGCCUGCCAGAGGAUUCCAAACCCUGUCUGUCAGUGUUGUCUGAGUCUAUAUGAAAUCGUUAAAACUUUCAGCAACGGAUCUCUAGAUCGGAAGAGCACACG
rnacentral:misc_RNA from 1 species